UGUCUGUCAAACCAUGCCUAGGACGAGCUGGCGGUAGACACAGAUUGCGGAGCGGGUAGUUCAGAUUUGCUGACCAAUUUUUAAAAAACAAAAAACAAAAAACAGAGUAGUAAAGUACAAAGAAGUAAAAGUACGUUUUCUUGUUUGAGUCGGAAGGGAACUAAAUGUCGAAUGGAAUGAAUUUAGACGUCCAGAGAGAUGAAGGAGAACGAAUUUGGACGAAAUGAGGCACCAGUUAAAGCCGGCUCAAGUGAUGCACCGGGUAACAGUUUCCAUAGGUCUGGAGUGUGUAUGUUGACUGAGAAGCAGCUUGAACACUUCUAACUUCAAGUUAAAUCACGGAAAACAUCACUCAGUUUCCUGAUGAAUUGCCGCUGCUGUGGAAGAUGUAUUCAGGCGUUUUGAUCCGAGGCAGCAGGACGCCACGAGUGAUCGGACACAUCUCUGGACAGUGAAGAAGAAGAAGAAGACUGAUCUCCAUAUGGAAAGGAUGGCCGGUCGGUGCAGAUGCAUCAACCUCCUGACAUGUUUACCACACUUCAGUUGAUCAUUUGGUAACUCCGAGGAUAUUUUUCAGGAACGUUUAAGAGAGGCGAAGCCGUCUGCUGAUUUACAUCUGCUCCAGAAUUCUUUAACCUGAGCACGCUCGGAGGAUGGAGACUUGUCAAGAUGACUUGCUCCAGCAGCUUAGAAAACUUUCUCCGUCUGAACAGGAAGCACAAAUGAAGGUGGAGGAGCGUGAAGCUCAGAUACAGGAGCUACAGGACACGAUCACAGAGCUCCACCAGGAGAUGUCCCUGAAAGACCAGGACAAACUCGGGCAGCUCCAGCAGCUUGUCCAGCUCGAAACCAGGGUCAAGGAGCUCACGCAGGAGUUACAGAGCUCGGCACAGACCAUCGCUCAGCUCAGACACGAGGCCAGAGACGGCGCUGGGAGCAACAGUGUGUUACACAGAGAUGUGUCCGGCGAUCAAACCGCGGCGAGAGGACUAGAACUCUUGAAGAGUGAGUUGACGCAUCGUGACGCGAGCAUCCAGAAGCUCCAGCGAGACCUGCUCCUGUCUCACCAGGCCCGCGAUUCCCAGAGUGCUCAGCUGGACGUCCAGGAGCAGAGGCUGUGGGAGCUGCAGAGGGAGCUGCAGGAGAAGCAGCAGGAGCUGUGGAGAGGACACGACCGCCUCCAGCAGCUCGGCACCGAGCUCCAGAGCACGACGAGGAACGCUCAAGAGCUGCAGGGUCAGGUUGAGAAGCUCAGUGCUGAGCUGUCCUCCAUACAGAGAGGAAGUGAAGCAGAACAGGAGACUCAGAGGAAGUUCAGGGAGCUUCAGGCAGAGCUCUCGGCCACUCGGGUCCGGCUCAGCGACUGCCAGGACGGGAAACGGGCGGCCCUGAAGAGGGCAGACGAACAGAUCCAGCAGCUGCAGGAGGAGGUGUCCAGGCUGAAGCUGCAGCUCCAAUGCGUCAGUCAGCAACAGCAGGAGCGCGGCGCGGAGCUGCGGAGUCUCCAGAAGGCCCACGCCGAGCUGCAGGUCCGAGACGACGAGUGCCGGAGAGAGCUGAGCCGAAUCAGAGACGAGCUACACAACGCCACCCUGAGGGUAGAAGAGCAGCGUCUGAAAGAGGUCCAGAUUGAUGAGCUCCAGCGAGAGGUUGACAGGAUGCUGGCACUGCUGGAGAAAGACGGAGAGGACGGCGGUCAGGAGGAGGAGGCGGAGAGACUGAGGGACGAACAGCGGCGUCUCAAGGACAAGCUCGACGAGCGCGGGGACAGCGUAGCCGCUCUGAGCCUGGAGGCGGAGUUUCUGAGACGGAAAGCGCGCGCCGGCGACCGGGAGGCGGCCGAGCUGUGCCGGCAGCUCUUCGCCUCCCAGGAUGCACUGCAGCGGGUGACUGGUGAGCUCAGGAGCUGCCAGAGAGAGCUCCGAGAACGGGAGGCUCAGAGAGGAGAAGAGGAAGAGAGAGGGGCGGAGCUCAAGGCUGAACUGAAUCAGCUACAGCACCAGUACACCACCUGCUACUCACAGCUGGUGGAGGACGAAGCGUUGGUGUCCAGGUUGAGGACUGAGCUACAGCAGGCUGAAGGACAGAGGGACACACUGGUGUCUCAGCUGCAAGAGCAGCAACAUCAGCUCCAUCUGCUCACAGAGAAACACCGCACAGCUCAGAAGGAGGUGGCCUGCAGAGAUGAUGCGGUGCUGAAGUUAACGGCCGAGCUGAGCGCUGUUCAGGAACACCUGACCUCUGCGCACAGUGAGCUCGCAGGCCAGGUUCAGGAAGUGAACUCUAAAGCUGAGGAGGUCACGACCUUGAAGGAGGAAGUGCGAAGAUUACAGAAGCUCCUGAGUCAGAGGGACGAGACGCUCGAGGAGGAAAAAGGCAGAAACGUCCAGCUUCAGUUCGAGAAAGAAGAUCUUCACGCGCGGUGCGAGAGCCAGCGGGAGGCGCUGUGCGAACUCCGUGCCGAGGUACAGAAGUGGCAGCAGGAGGCGCAGGGCCAAAGGGAGAGCCAGGAGAAGGAGGUGCAGGCGCUGAGGAGUGAGCUGCGGGAGGAGCAGAGUCGCCUCCAUCAGCACAGAUCCAAUCUGGAGCGCCUGCACAGAGAGCUGGAGUCGACGCAGAGACAGCAGAGAGACGCCGAGGACGAGGUCUGCCGUAAGGAAGCAGCCCUGCGCUCUCAGGACUCGGAGAUGACUCGGAUGAAGGCGGAUCUACUCGAGGCUCGAAGAUCGGCGUCGGACGCCGAGGCCCGGCUGCGGCCGCUCGGCGAGUCCGUGCAGCUUUACAAGCAGAAGUACCAGACCUGUGUGAGCAAGAUCGCAGAGCUGGAGAGCACGCUGCAGAGCCACGAGGAGGACCGGAGGCAGAGCAGAGCCCAGGUGGUUGAGCGGGAGGAGCAGGUGGCGCGUCUGCAGGCGGAGAUCGUGGCUCUACGGGGCGACGUGGAGGCGCGCUGUGCUCAGCUGGAGAGCGGAGACGAGGCCCUGACCGCUCUGAGCCGGCGGCUGAGAGACGCGCAGAGGGAGCUGGAGCUAAGCCACGCCCACGCGCAAGAGCGUGAGCUGGUCAUCGACGCACUCCGAGACAACAUGGCCGCCCUGCGCAGUCAGGUGGAAGAGAAGGACGAGGCGGCGCUGAAGCUCCAGUCUGAUUUCUCUCUCUACAGAGCGACUCACACGCGCUCCGAGUCAGACUGCGAAUCCCUCAUUUGUCGCGUCCGCGAACUGGAACAGGCGUUGUCCCAGGCCCUGGAGCGCUCUGGAACCUGUCACUCAGAGCUGGAGAAGCUGAAAGAGGAAGCGCAGGCGCAGAAGCGGCUCAGAGAUGGCAGCCUGGCGGAGGUGCGAAGGCUGCAGGAGUUGAUGAGGAAGCUCCAGGCUGAUGCUGUGUGUGAGGCUCAGAGCAGACAGGCUGACGUGGACGCUCUGGAGCUCAGAGUCAACGAACUGGAGGAACAACUCGAGGCAGCUCGUAGGCAUUGUGUACAGAAGGAACAGGCCGUGCAGAAAAGAGACGCGCUCCUGAGGCAGUCGGAGGCAGACCUGGUCCAGGCGCGAGAUAAGAUCCGAGGCAAGGCGGCGGAGGCAGGGAGGCACGCCGCCACCGUUCAGGCUCUACAGGCAGACCUCCGGCAAGCCAAGAAAGAGAAGCGAGAGAGGGAGGACGAGUGCGGGAAGCUCCGCACACAGCUCCUGCAGAUCCGCGACGAGCUGAAGGAGGCCCGGAGCAGCUGCAGAGACAGCGCUCAGGAACUGGCUCGUCACGAGGAGAAGGUGCUACUGCUGGAGGGCGGGCAUCAGCGAGCGCAGGAGCAGCUGUCGGAGCGAGUAGCCGAGGUGGUCCGGGCUGAGCAGAUCCAGAGGAGACUUCAUGCCGACCUCAGGAGAGUCCAACAAAGUCUGGAAUCCAGCGAGCAGGAGCUCCACGACUGCAGGACUCAGAUGGAACAGGUGAAACUGGAGGCCAGCAGCAGCAGGCAGGCUCAGCUCAGCACCCAGCAGGAGGCUUUACGGCUGCAGCAGGAGAACCAGGAGCUCCAGGACGAGCUGAGCAGCACCAAAGAGACCGUUACACACAUGCAGGAGCAGCUGAGGGAACACUCGGUGACGGCUCAGGCUCUGCGUGUGGAGCUGGCACAGGAGCAGGCCCGGCAGCAGGAACAGCUGGACUGGGUACAGAGGACACGUCAGAGAGAGGACAGCCUGGAGGCUGAGAGAGAUCAGCUCAGAACUGACCUGGAAACAGUCAGAAACCAGCUGCAGGAGCGGGUGUGUGAGCUACACAGCGCCACCCUCAGGCUGCAGGAGGAAGAGGCGGACAAGCGGACGCAGCUGCAGGAGAGAGACGCUCGCAUCCAGACUUUCAGCCAAGAGCAGGCUGAGCGUAGUCAGGAGAUGACACGCUUGCAGCAGCGGCUGAUCCAGCGGGAAGAGAGAAACACCGAGCUGAGUACAGAGCUGCAGCAGCUGCGCAGUCAGAGCCGCCUCUCUCAGGACGAGACUCGGGCGUUUGAGGGGCGUCUGGCGGAGUUAAACGGCCAGCUGGCGCGCUCUCAGCUCUGGGGUCAGCAGCAGCUCGUCACCCUGCAGUCCAGAGAGGAAGAACUGGUGCUCCUGAAGGUGGAGGUAGCCUCCCUCAGAGAGAACUACCGCUCCAAAGUAUCUCAGUUGGACACGUUACACACUGAGCUGGACUCUUUAGAACAGAAGUACAGGGCCGCUGUGAGUGAGGUGGAGGUGUUGAGGCAGGCGUUGGGCGACGCCCGUACUGAUAGUUCCCGUCUGCACCGAGAGAGCGAGCUGGUGGUCACCAACGUCAACCAGUGGGUCAAAGAGCAAAAGCAGGCCAACGAGAAGCUCGGCCUCAAGAUCAGAGACCAGAGCAAGAAGAUCAUCCACCUCACAGCUGAAAAAGAUCAUCUGCAGGAGAACUUGGAGAAGCUGCAGGCGGAGAUCCGCUGGCUGAGGGCGGAGCUCGAUGAGCAAAGAAUGGAGGCAGAGAGAUGCAAGGCGUUUCAGACCCAGAGCGCGAGUGAGCCGCUGCACAGCCGUCAGCCUCCUGCACUUCUGUGCUACAGAGAGCUCGUUACACCCGAGGAAGCUGAUGAUCUCCGCUGUGACAUUUGACUGUUUGCACUUGUGUCCAGCAGUGACGUGGCCUCAGGGGCUACAUGAGAUCCAGAGAGCUGCAGGGAGAUCGGGAAUCUUCGGCCCUCCGCGGGAGAACGUGAGCAGGAAGAAGCCUCCGGCGGUGCGGCCGGAGCGGAGCUGAGGUGCGCGUGCAGAGCCACGCCCGGAUCCAGUUUCGCCGCUGAAGUGGCCCGGCGAGUCGCUCGAAGGGCACUGGAGAGAAGAACCCUGCGUAGGCCGCACGGCUGGGAGUUUACACCACAGCGCUCUCUGAAUGCACAACAUCUCAGGGCUUCUCUGUGACACUGAGACUCUUUCUAAAGUAAUACAGGAUUGAUGGAGAAAAGAUCUGAAUAGAACUGAUGGAGAAUUGGGUUUGUUUAUUUACCUCUGUUUAUUUUAUAAACCUGUUAAACUUGAAUAAUCUCAUGAUGCGUUAUGAUGGAUGAUAUCAGAUAAUGGCGUUUUUUCUUUAGCGGCGAAAAAACGAGCGCGGUUUUCAUUCUUCAGAACGGCAGGCGGCCGAGUGUCAGUGUGUGUUAAUCAUCUCCAAACUUGUUUUGCUCUGAGGUAAAAGGGAAGACGUGAGCCGUUAUUGCAGCUUUCUGCGUGUUUGUUCGCUGCGGUGAUAUUUAAUGUAAUUUUAUUUUUUAUUUUUUUUUUGACAUUUGUCAUAAAAUUUUCUCGGAGGCUUCGAGAUGAAAACUUUUCAAUCCUGGAGGGAUUUGAAAACCUUUAGGGAAGGAUUUUUAUUUUUAUUUUUAAACACAUCUAGUGUCUGUUUUCACGUCUGAUCUUUUUUUUUUUUUGUUCGUUUCUUUGAACAUAAAUCCGACGGUUUGUGUGAAGUUACCGGUGUUUCGUGUGACAUUUUGUUUGUUCACGUAACUGUAGUGUGUAAAGCGUGUCAUGUUUGUGACGAAUCACGUGUCGAUCGUUUAUAUUUACAUUAACGUCACGCUCGAGCUCGAGCCGAGGCGAGGCAUAACCACGUGAUCUCCGAGAC